rnacentral:rRNA from 1 species
AUAUGGCUAAGCUAUUAUGGGUGCAAGAAGGAUGCCUUGGCACUAGAAGCCGAAGAAGGACGUGGUAAGCUGCGAUAAGCCUCGGGAAGGAGCAAACAUCCGUCGAUCCGAGGAUCUCCGAAUCGGGAAACCGCAGGUUGCGAUAAGUAACCUGAUCCCAAGAUAAAGGUCUCGGCUUAGGCUGGGAAGAUAGUCUUGGGAAGACAACCCGGGGAAGUGAAACAUCUCAGUACCCGGAGGAAAAGAAAUCAACGAGAUUCCCUUAGUAGUGGCGAGCGAACGGGGAAGAGCCUAAACCCGGUUGCAUGCAACCGGGGGUUGCGGGGCUCUGAUGUCCGCAAGGAGGAAAGUUACAAAUCCUUUCGUUAGUAGAACGGCCCUGGAACGGCCGGCCAAAGAAGGUGAAAGCCCUGUAAGCAAAAACGAAAAGGACUUUCUUAUCAGAGUUCCCAAGUAUCACGGAACACGUGAAAUUCCGUGAGAAUCUGGGGAGACCAUUCUCCAAGGCUAAAUACUCUCUAGUGACCGAUAGUGAACCAGUACCGCGAGGGAAAGGCGAAAAGAACCCAGGAAUGGGAGUGAAAUAGAACCUGAAAUCUUGUACCUACAAGCAGUUCGAGGACUAUGGCGUUUGCCGCAAGGCGAACGCAAUGUCUGAGAGCGUGCCUGUUGAAGAAUGAUCCGGCGAGUUACUGACGGUUGCGAGCUUAAGGUGUUUAAACACCGAAUGCGCAGCGAAAGCGAGUCCGAAUAGGGCGACAAGUAGCCGUUAGUAGACCCGAAGCCAGUCGAUCUAGCCCUGACCAGGGUGAAGUCCUGCGAAAGCAGGAUGGAGGCCCGAAGCGUUAACCGUUGAAAAGGUUCUGCAUGAGUUGGGGCUAGGGGUGAAAGGCCAAUCGAGGCUGGUGAUAGCUGGUUCUCUCCGAAAUAGUUUUAGGACUAGCCUCGAGAUUAAAAGACAGGGGGUAGAGCUACUGGAUAGUGUAGGGGGUGCAACCCACCUUCCGAAUCUAACCAAACUCCGAAUACCUGUCCGUAUAUCUCGGGAGUCAGUGCUUGGGGGCAAGCUUCAAGCGCAAGAGGGGAAUAGCCCAGACUACCGUCUAAGGUCCCUAAGUGUACGCUAAGUGGCAAAGGAUGUGAAUUCGCUGAGACAGCCAGGAGGUUGGCUUAGAAGCAGCCACCCUUUAAAGAGUGCGUAACAGCUCACUGGUCAAGCGAGUUUGCGCCAAAAAUGACUCGGGGCUAAGCGUAACACCGAAGACGUAGCUUCUUAUGCAUUUCGAUGCGUAAGAGGAGUAGGAGAGCGUUGAAAGAGCCAUGAAGGAGUACCGAAAGGAGCUCUGGAGUUCUUUCAAGUGAGGAUGUCGGAAUAAGUAGCGAUAAGUCCGGUGAGAAUCCGGACCGCCGAAAGCCUAAGGUUUCCUUGAGCAACGUUCGUCGACUCAGGGUUAGUCGGUCCUAAGUCGAGGCCGAAAGGCGUAGACGAGGGGCAUCCGGUUAAUAUUCCGGAACCACGGUAGUUACGUUAUCAACCAAGGGGGGACGCAGGAAGGCAGAUCGGCCGGGUAUCGGUAUCUCGGUUCAAAGCCGUAGGUAGAUCCUGCAGGUAAAUCCACAGGGUCGUUUUAACCCGAAAGCUGAGCACGACCUCGCUGAAAGGCGGGGGAAGCGAUUCAACUAUACUGCCCAGAAAAUCCUCGUGGUGAGUGAUUGUCGUGUCCGUACCGCAAACCGACACAGGUAGGCUGGAAGAAGAUUCCAAGGCGCGCGAGAGAAUCUCCGUUAAGGAACUAGGCAAAAUAGCCCCGUACCUUCGGAAGAAGGGGUCCCCUCCACGUGAGUGGGGGGGCGCAGUGAAAGGGGUUCCGCGACUGUUUAACAAAAACACAGGGCUCUGCUGAAAUCACAAGAUGAUGUAUAGGGCCUGACGCUUGCCCGGUACUGGAAGGUCACGGGGAGUUGUUAUCCGUAAGGAGAAGCAGCGAACUUAAGCCCCAGUAAACGGCGGCCGUAACUAUAACGGUCCUAAGGUAGCGAAAUACCUUGUCGGGUAAGUUCCGACCUGCAUGAAUAGCGUAACGAAGGAACCGCUGUCUCGACGGAGAUCUCGGCGAAAUUGAGUUGUCAGUGAAGACGCUGGCUGCCCGCGGCAAGACGGAAAGACCCCGUGCAGCUUUACUAUAUCCUGGUAUUGAAUUACGGUUUUGGAUGCGUAGGAUAGGUGGGAGGCGAUGAGGGGCCGCUUUUGGGCGGCCCGGAGCCAACGGUGAAAUACCACCCUUCUAGGACUGUGGUGCUAAUUCCGCGCUCUGAAUCGAGCAGGCAGACAGUGCCAGGUGGGUAGUUUGACUGGGGCGGUCGCCUCCUAAAGAGUAACGGAGGCGCCCAAAGGUUCCCUCAGCGCGAAUAGAAAUCGCGUGUUGAGUGCAAGGGCAUAAGGGAGCUUGACAGUGAGCGCGACGGCGCGAACUGGUGCGAAAGCAUGGCCUAGUGAUCCGGUAGUACCGAAUGGAAGGGCUAUCGCGCAACGGAUAAAAGCUACGCCGGGGAUAACAGGCUGAUCGGGCCUGAGAGUUCACAUCGACGGCCCGGUUUGGCACCUCGAUGUCGGCUCAUCGCAUCCUGGGGCUGGAGAAGGUCCCAAGGGUCCGGCUGUUCGCCGGUUAAAGCGGUACGUGAGCUGGGUUCAGUACGUCGUGAGACAGUACGGUCCCUAUCUGCCGUGGGCGCAGGAAUUUUGAGGGGAUUCGACCACAGUACGAGAGGACCUGGUUGAACGAGCCUCCCGUGUUCCAGUUAUCCCGCCAGGGGUACAUGCUGGGUAGCGGUGCUCGGAUUAGAUAAUCGCUGAAAGCAUCUAAGCGAGAAACUAACCCCAAGAUAAGAAUUCCCUCCCGCUGAAAGGCGGGACUGAAGACCACCCGAAGACUACGGGUUAUAUAGGAGAGAAGUGGAAGCCGAGUAAUCGGUGCAGCUAACUCUUACUAAUCGGUCGUGAGGCUUAGCCAUAU